UCCCAUUCCGCAAGGAAGUAAGAUCCCUGAAAGAUGAUCAGGUUGAUAGGUCUGAGGUGGAAGUGUGGCGACACAUGGAGCUGACAGAUACUAAUCGAUCGAGGACUUAACCCA
rnacentral:rRNA from 1 species